GAGGGUAGAGCUCAAGUGGUAGAGCACUUGCUUAGCAUGCAUGAGGUCCUGAGUUCAACCCCCAGUACCUCCU
rnacentral:tRNA from 1 species